rnacentral:rRNA from 1 species
CCCUUAGACGUUCUGGGCCGCACGCGCGCUACACUGACGGAGCCAGCGAGCUUUUCCUUAACCGAGAGGUUUGGGUAACCUUGUGAAACUCCGUCGUGCUGGGGAUAGAGCAUUGUAAUUAUUGCUCUUCAACGAGGAAUUCCUAGUAAGCGCAAGUCAUCAGCUUGCGUUGAUUACGUCCCUGCCCUUUGUACACACCGCCCGUCGCUAGUACCGAUUGAAUGGCUUAGUGAGGCUUCAGGAUUUGCUUAGAUCGAGGGGCAACUCUCUUUCAGAGCGGAGAAUCUAGUCAAACUUGGUCAUUUAGAGGAACUAAAAGUCGUAACA